rnacentral:rRNA from 1 species
GGGGGGGGUGCUAGCGUUAUUCGGAAUCAUUGGGCGUAAAGGGCGCGUAGGGCGGCCUCUUAAGUCAGGGUGUGACAGCCCGGGGCUUAACCCCGGAAGUGCAUUUGAAACUAAGGGACUUGAGUAUGGGAGAGGGAAGUGGAAUUCCUGGUGUAGCGGUGAAAUGCGUAGAUAUCAGGAGGAACACCGGUGGCGAAGGCGACUUCCUGGACCAAUACUGACGCUGAGGCGCGAAGGCGUGGGGAGCAAACAGGAUUAGAUACCCUGGUAGUCCACGCAGUAAACGGUGAACACUAGGUGUAGCGGGUAUUGACCCCUGCUGUGCCGCAGUUAACGCAUUAAGUGCUCCGCCUGGGGAGUACGACCGCAAGGUUAA